rnacentral:rRNA from 1 species
AGCCUUUAGCAAAACAAGUAUUAAAGGUCCCGCCUGCCCAGUGAAACUCUUUUUAACGGCCGCGGUAUUCUAACCGUGCAAAGGUAGCGUAAUCACUUGUCUUCUAAAUAAAGACUAGUAUGAACGGCUAAAUGAGGACAAGCCUGUCUCAUGUGGUCAAUCAGUGAAACUGAUCUUCCGGUACAAAAGCCGGAAUAAUAUCAUAAGACGAGAAGACCCUGUGGAGCUUCAAAUCAACCACUAAUAAUCCAAACCUAGUACAAGAUUUUAAGUUGGGGCGACUUUGGAACAAAACACAACUUCCAAGCACGGGAACACCUUCCCCCACCAAGGCCAACAAGCCUAAGCAUUAAAACGACCCAGUCAUACUGAUCAACGAACCAAGUUACCCCAGGGAUAACAGCGCCAUCUUCUUCAAGAGUCCAUAUCGACAAGAAGGUUUACGACCUCGAUGUUGGAUCAGGACACCCAAGUGGUGCAGCCGCUACUAAUGGUUCGUUUGUUCAACGAUUAACAGUCCU